rfam:Gossypium hirsutum cultivar TM-1 unplaced genomic scaffold scaffold251.1, whole genome shotgun sequence
CGUUUAAAAUUUCAUCAAUUUAUACUGUUAAAAAUUGGUGUGGCUGACGGAAUAACCGAAUAAUGACACGUGGUUGCCACGUGUGUCUCAUACUGACGUACAAGGACCAACUUUUAAUAGUAGAAUUGGAUGAAAAUUUUAACA